ACAAGCUCCUCCCAGCGAAACGCGAGUCACUUCCGGUCCGGCACCCGACUUCCGGGACCUCGGCAACGGGGCUCCGACGGGCGGACUCCUUCCAGCACACGCUGUAUUCCAGCUCAUGAAGUCUCCAGUUCUACAGAGACCAGCGCCAAUCAUCAUCCUGCGGUGCUUGCCUGACAUCCUCGUAUCAUCAGUGUUCUCUGCGUGUGGCAGUGAUUCGGCGAACACCAGCUUCCAGCAUUGGGCUUCCAGGGGUGUUCAGCUACCUACCCUCAUUGGUGCUUCAUCAUCAGUGUUCCUGAUAUUUCCAGUACCAAGUCAUCUGUGCUUCUAUUCAUCGAUCUCUAGCAUCAUUAGUUUGAUUCAGCUUCAUUCUCCGUUCCAUCCGGAUUUGUACUCCAUUCACAGUUCUUCAGUUUCCGUUUCAUCGUGCAAAACCGGCAGUCUACAAAUACCAAUCUUUCUACAGUACGCUCAGCCUCCGUAUUCCAUCUGCUGACCAGUUCCAACUAUCAUCUAUUCUACAGGACCUAAGUGUUGGUAAGGACUGACCAUCUCCUUAAACUCCCAAGCUAGUCUUGUGCGGAUACCACACCUAAGGAAACAUUGCCGCUGUUAUUGUUCACGGAACUACUGUAUGUACUGUUUUUAAUCAUCAUUUAUUUCAUCUUGUGCAAACUGCCGGUGUACCACCAGAACUGUGUUUAAUAAACCAACAUUUAUUUUA